rnacentral:guide_RNA from 1 species
AUAUAAAUAAUCAAACAGACAAAUGAAACUAGAGAUAGAGAAAUUAAUAU